CUGAAAGCAUUUGAGGCGAGAAAUAAGCUGUGUGUGGUAGGACGACCUAGUCCGCCUCCACUCGUGUUGUGUGUAUCAGAUCAGAUCUGCGCAGCUGGGAGUAAUCUUCCUAAUGCACCUUGCUUGCAGGGCGGUGCCACGCUCCCAUCUGGGAGAGGGCUGCGCGUCUUGUACGUGCAUCCUCUCUCCCUGGAGCCGGAGGGCUACAUCAGUAGCGUGGUUUGGCGUGGAUCUGCGUGGUAGUUAUGAGACGCUGGCUGUCGAGCUUUCGCUAUUCCCUUUCAUCUGGAGCUGUUGGGCCAGGUGGCUGGUGGCUGACUGAUUCCCCCGGCGGUGGUAGUCCCUUCACUCCCUGUAUAGUAGUGCACUUGGGUGUCCGUCAAUGGUUUUGUUUUGUUCGCGUGUCAUCAGGACCCUUCCCUUCCCCCCUUCAGUUAGUCAUCCCUGCCUGGUAAGCCCUCAGCCCUGUGCCUAGUGACUGUGUUUCGGUGGCAAACUUAACUAAUCCAGGGGGGCCCCUGGAGGAAUAGAUUAAUAUUGUGCCACUUACUACCAAGUUAUUUUUUGGCAUCGCCACCAAGAGUUUUUUAGUGAGGAAAGAGUGUAAGUUUUUAAAUAUUGUUAAUAAAUUUCAUUUUUCUAUAUUUGGAAUCGCGUCAGUCUCUGGUGUCUGUCGUACCUGUGUGACCUUUCCUUUGUCUGUAUUGGAGCAGUGGUCCUCUCAGACUUCUGUCGUCCCUUCAUCCUGGAGAUUGAUGCUAGUCACAGUAGUCUAGGAGCUGUUUUGUUGCAAGAGGUGGAGCGUCGUGUUAGGCCGAUAGCUUAUGCUAGCCGUGGUCUCCGACCAACUGAGAGUAAUAUGGCCAAUUACAGUUCUAUGAAACUGGAAUUUCUUGCCCUCAAGUGGGCAAUGACAGAAGUUCCGCGAAUAUCUGUUGGGACAUAACUGUGUUAUCUUCACAGAUAACAAUCCCUUAAGCCAUCUCCAGUCCGCCAAACUGGGGGCCACAGAGCACUGGUGGGUCGCCCAGCUUGCUGCUUUCGACUUUGAAAUCAAGUAUCAGUCUGGUCGCAGCAAUACAAAUGCUGAUGCCCUUUCUCCGCAGUAUGUGUCAGGCUCUAGCUUGGCUGAGCAGGUCCUACCUGGUACAUCAGUUCCAGCUUUUCUUCAGCAAGCUGCUCUGCUAGUCUCAGCGGCUCCAGCAACCCAGUCCAUGGUGUCUGCCCUUCCAUUCCAUUCUCUCUCUGACAUUUGUUCGUUGCAGGAGUCUGAUCCCCUCCUGAAAGAGGUCUUGGUCUUUUGGAGGAGGCAAGUUCGGCCAACCCCAGAUGAGAGGCGACACAGGUCCAAGCCAGCUUUGGCGCUGCUGCGACAGUGGGAUCGUUUGGUGGAAAAAGAUGGUGUGCUUUACCGCAGGGUUUUUCGCUCAGAUGGGGGGGAGGAGAAUCUCCAGGUGGUCUUGCCGGCUCUCCUGAAACAGGAGAUGUUGAAACAGCUCCAUCAUGAACAUGGCCACCAUGGUAUGGAUUGGACUACUGAGCUGGUACGAGAGCGCUGUUACUGGCCAGGAAUGUGCUCCAACAUAAAGCAGUAGAUUAGGGAAUGUGAACACUGCCAGGCUGCAAAGGACUCCGGGCCCGUUCCACACAGCUUUAUGGGCCACUUGCUUGCAUCUAGGCCAAACCAGAUUGUGGCCAUUGAUUUUACAGUGUUGGAGCCCUCCAGAAAUAGUUGGGAGACCGUCCUUGUAAUGACCGAUGUGUUUAGUAAAUACACUGUGGCUGUCCCAACUAGGGACCAGCGUGCGCCCACUGUUGCCCAGGUCUUGUUGAAUGAAUGGUUCUUUAAGUUUGGGGUACCAAGUCGCAUUCACUCUGACCAGGGCCGUAGUUUUGAGACGGCCUUGAUCCAGCAACUCUGUUGCUUGUAUGGGGUAGAGAAGUCCCGUACAACACCAUACCACCCCGCAGGAAAUGGACAAUGUGAGCGGUUCAAACAAACCCUACACAAUCUCCUGCGCACCCUGCCAACUUCACGGAAACAAGAUUGGGCUUCCUGCCUCCCACAGGUGCUCUUCUGUUACAACUCCACCCCUCAUCAGGCUACAGGAGAGUCUCCUUUCUUUGUAAUAUUUGGUUGUGAACCUAGGCUCCCUGUUGACUUUCUGCUGGGUUGAGUCCAGGACCCUGUGCCAGGGAAGGUGCAGGACUGGGUAGCCGAGCAUUAGGAGAGGUUCAGGGUAGCCUUCAAGGGGGCUCAUUAUCGGUUGUUAGCAGCUGCUGGUCGCCAUAAAGAGCACCAUGAUCAGCGCGUCCAUGAUGAGCCUCUGCGAGUUGGCCAGCUUGUUUACCUUCGAGACCAUAGUGCUAGGGGCUGGCAUAAAAUCAGUGACAUUUGGAGUUCUGUGGUGUACAAAGUGCUGAGAGUCCCACGCGGCGAGGGUGCAGUUUACACCAUUGCUUCCGCGGACGACUUGGGGAAGGUGCGCAAUGUGCAUCGCAACAUGUUAAAGGCCAAAGUAGGGCCUGACCUGCCUGGUCCUACUCCUGCUUCACCUCCUGCUCCUCCGCUGCCAUCAGCAGUGCUGAGGGUAACUCUUCCAGUGAUGACGACCUAUGGGUGUUGGUUCCUGAAACCCCUUUGCCAUCGGCCACACCUGUAACCAGCAAUGCAGGUUCUAUGGAGCCUCUUGCAGCGAUUCCACUGAGAGAUUCUCCUGUUCUUGGGACACCUUUGGUGCUGGGAGGUGCUUGCAUGUUGGGCUCUUCUCCAUCUCUACCAGAAUCAGUCAGUGUUAGCCAGCCUGCUGUCCGUCAGACAGGCCGAUCCACCGCUGGCCAACACUCUAACGUGCAUCGUCUUCCACGGCCAGUUGGUUGCAUUGACCGUGAAGUUGCUGGACCUUCAAGAGCUGUGUCUAAUGUCCAGUCUGCUUUCCACCGGCCUUGGUGUUAACUCUUCAGGUUCCUCCUGGAGGUCCAUCAUCGGGGAGACGAUGCAAAAGUCGGGGGUAGGUGUGGUAGGAUGGCCUAGUCCACCUCCACUUGUGUGUAUCGGAUCAGGUCUGCGCAGGUGGGAGUAAUCUUCCUAAUGCACCUUGCUUGCGGGGCGGUGCCAUGCCCAAUUAUAUCUGGGAGAGAGCUGCGUGUCUUGUACGUGCAUCCUUUUUCCUCUUCCUGGAGCCAGAGGGCUACAUCAGUAGCGUGGUUUGGUGUGGAUCUGUGUGGUGGUUUCGAGACGCUGGCUGUCGAGCUUUCGCUAUUCCCUUUCGUCUGGUAUGUUCCGACACAGUCGCUCUAUCGCUGGGCGAUAUUAGUGCUGUGCCUGAUGCACUUUCUGCUUCCUAGCAGAGUCGGCCCAUAUCCUGGCUGAAGGCCGGGAGCCGUGUGUGUGUGUGUGUGUGUGUGUGUGUGGCCUCGGAGCCAGGCAUAAUAAUCCAUGCGCUGCAUUGGACUUUUGAGGUAGGCUGGCUCAUUUCUGUCGUUUUUUUUUUUUUUUUUUUGCGUCUUUGCUGGGCUGCAUGUGAAAUGACUAUGGUUUCUGGUUGCUGUUGGCAGUGAUUGGGCUGCAUUUUUCUGCGGCUGUCUCCUCUGUUGCCUGACAAGCUGCGGGUUCACUGACGGGUGGCUCUACCUCCUGAAGCGGGCUGCUGCUGUUCUGUCUGUGGUUCAUCACGGCAAGCUCUCUUCUCAUCGGCAGUUGUUUUAUUGUUGUUGUUUUGUUGUAUGAUGUUUUAAAAAAACAACAAUCUUGGUGUGCACGUGCCUAUUGCCCAGCACACCAGUUAUUGAGAGUAUUAUUGUUAUUAUUAUUAUUAUUAUUAUUAUUAGUGUUGUUAUUAUUAGUGUUAAAAAAAAUUUUGUAUUAGAAUUAUUAGUAUUAGAAUUAUUAGUAUAGAUCUUGGGAUUCUUCGUUAGUUUUGUUAUUUAUAUAUUGUUCAUUCACUUAUUUGUUGCGAUUGUGUGUUUAAGUUAUCCAGUUAUCUUUUUUUUUUGGUUUUGUAAAUUUAGUUUUUUUUCUCUUUUUUUGGUUUAUUGGGUUGACUGGGUGAGGUAGUAAGGGGCGCAUGAAGGCAUAAUUGGCCUUGGUGGUGACCUCCUGGGCCCAGCCUAGUGUGGUGUUGGGUAGCUUAUUUGAGAUCUAUAUAGAUUUGCCUCGUUUUCCCGUGACUAACAGUUUCCCUCUUUUUUUCUUGGACAGGAGCUGUUGGGCCAGGUGGCUGGUGGCUGACUGAUUCCCCCGGCGGUGGUGGUCCCUUCACUCCCUGUACAGUAGUGCACUUGGGUGUCCGUCAAUGGUUUUGUUUUAUUCACAUGUGGUGUGGUGCAUCAGGACCCUUCCCUUCCCCCCUUCAGUUAGUCAUCUCUGCCUGGUAAGCCCUCAGCCCUGUGCCUAGUGACUGUCUUUCGGUGGCAAACUUAACUAAUCCAGGGGGGCCCCUGGAGGAUUAGAUUAAUAUUGUGCCACUUACUACCGAGUUAUUUCUUGGCAUCACCACCAAGGGUUUUUUAGUGAGGAAAGAGUGUAAAUUUUUAAAUACUGUUAAUAAAUUUCAUUUUUCUAUACUUUA